AGCAGUGAGGAAUAUUGGUCAAUGGCCUAACGGCUGAACCAGCAACUUGGAGGAAUGUAUAGGGAAAGCUGGUAAAAUGUGAUGUACCUAGUAAUAUUAGUGAUUAAUAUGAGAUUAACUUAGUUAAUUAAAAUUCUAAGUAAAUAUGUGAUAAUGACAGUAUUUGCUUAUUUCUUGACCAAGUCACGUGCCAGCAGUCGCGGUAAUACGUGGAAGAUUAGUGUUAUUCAUAUUUAACAGGUUUAAAGGGUACCUAGACGGCUAAUUAAACACAAUAAUGUAUUAAUUAACUAGAGUUUAAUGUAAGAAGGAUUGAGUACGGUGAGUGUAGAGAUAAAAUUUUAUAAUACCACUUAGGAACUGGUAAAGGCGAAGGCAACCUUCCAUGUAAAAACUGACGUUGAAGGACGAAGGCUCGUAUCAAAUAAUAGGAUUAGAUACCCUAGUACUGUGGGCAGACAAUGAUGAGUGUCAUAUGCAAGAAAUUCUUUGUGUAUAAAUGAAAGUGUAAGCACUCCACCUCAAGAGUAACAUGGCAACAUGGGAACUGAAAUCAUUAGACCGUUUCUGAAACUCGUAGUGAAGUAUGUUGUUUAAUUUGAUGGUCCACAAAUAACCUUACCACAAUUUGUAUAACCACAUGUGGUUAUAUUUCGGAGUAUAGCCAUAUGUGGUUACAAGCGUUGCACGGCUGUCUUCAGUCAAUGUUGUGAAACUAUGGUUAGAUCCAUAAAAUUGACGUAAACCCUUACUUUAUUUGUUAUAAAGUAGUUCGCCGUUAUAUUGGUAGUGAUAUAAGGGACUAAGACAAGUCAUCAUGGCCUGAACAUUGUGGGCUAUAGACGUGCCACAU
rnacentral:rRNA from 1 species